AUUAAUUAAAACAUUUGGCCAUACCUUAGUCUCUCUCUAGUCUCUUCACCUUUUCUUUCCCCUCUCCCCAACGAUCGCCGACCAUCCCCCCACAUCUCUGGUGUGUGCCCAGCUCGCUGUCGCAGAGAGAACUCUAUUUCAAAGUCAGAGAGAAGAAAGAAGAGAAUAGGGAAGAAAGAAGUGGGAGAAAAUGGCACUAAGAGAAGCCGUACUUCUCUAUGUUUGAGUCCCAAUUCAAACCUUAACCCGGACCAUCAUCGGAGUGUCUCAAAUUGCUGCCAUCUGCCUCUAUCAGACUACCAUCCCUUUUGCUAACUCCUUCCCCGCCGUCUAACUCUCUGGCAUCUGGCUUAGCUUAUCCGACACCGGAGUUUUUGGUGCUCAAAUUUUUCUGCAGUUGUUUUUCAAAGAAUCAUUACGAAUCUCUUCUCUCUUCUCUCAAUUGUAGAUGACCAAGUAAAUUCCAUAUGAAAAGAGUCUAUUUUUCUAAGAUUCUUUUAGAUUAUAGCUCUUUCAACUUUCAGAAGACUCUUGCACUCUUUUGGCUCGUUAUCUUCCUAGCCCGCUGCUCUAUUUCCCCUGCUCUAACCUGUCCAUUUUUUUAUGCUUCUUAUGGUGGGUCAUACUUCAUUGCUAAAGCUAUCAACUUCUAUUCUAACUCCUGGAUCAAGUGAAGGUGUAAUUCCUUUUGAGUUAUCGUCCACGAAGCCUUUGGCAACACAGUCAGAGACAUAGAGUAACUAUGGAGAAGCAGAAGCAAAAGAGCACAUGUUUAAGCAGGCACAGUUGGCAAAGACAAGGUAGCACCUGAUAUAAAUCCAAAUUUGAUAGAGGUAUCAGUGAUACUUAUCAAAAAAGAAAAGCUACCUAAGAACCAUCCACAUCCACGAGUAGAGUGGUGGUAUUUUAUUUUGACCUUGUUUGCCCUAUCAGGUAUAAGAAAUCUUCCAUCAGGUUUACUUUUUUCUUUUUCCUCUACAUAGUCUCAUUCUACACUCAAAAGUCAUCUGUUACUGGUUUUGGACACUAAAAUAAAUGCUUUGUUCUAGGUUGUGGAGGACGGGUAUUAGUUAUUUGCUGACAGGCAUCUUGAAACAACAUUUUUAGCCCCCAACUAAUAGUGAAUUUGAUAAUGCUGAUGCAGUGAUGAUUGUUGAUGAAAAUCCGAUGUGCUCUAUCAAAAGUUCUUAAGCCAACAGAGAAAAAAAGAAAAAGCUAAGUUCAUGAUGUCAACAAAAACGUGAUGUUUGCAAUGCUAUUGCUACCUAGUUAUCCAAGGUCAAAACAUUUUUAUUACCAUUUAAUUCCUCAUUUGGCUAUUAAAAAGAUUGUUGUUGUGGAUGUGCCAAUUAUAGCCCCAUCAUAUCUGUUAAUUCUAGUUUUUUUUUUUUUGGGUAAUUUUCUGGGUUAAAAGUCCUUGUGAUAAGUUCUUUUUUACUAAUCUUUUUAGGUCUCAUUGUUAAACCAUGACAAUUUUUUUAUGUUUUUAUUUUUGUUUUCAAAAAACUAUUGUUCUCUACCUAUUGGCAUGUGUCUACCAUCACUUCUUUAGAAUAAAAUAAAUUACCGGUGCACUUAAUCUUGAGCUCUUUGACUAAUGGAUAAUAGGAUGUGGAGCACUCACCUUCUUUGCUAUGUUGUUAUUUAUGUGCCUAGCGGACCAUAAAGUCUUGUGAGUAGUGACUAAGACAUCGUAAGAAAGAAAUAGACCUAUUGUAGAUUGGUUUUCAUUGUUCCUAAGGCAUACUGAAAUUACGUUUUUUUCAUUUCAACUUUACAUGAAAGAUUUUUGUUCAAAGGUAGUGUAUGGUUUGUAGUAACUAUUCAUUUUUGGCAUUUGGUGGUUUUAAAAUUCCAUAUAGGUUAAGUUGCACUUAGAAUUUUAUCUUGAAGUUAUUUUAGCAAAUUGUUAUAGUAGGUUGGUUUUCAUGUGAUAUUAGUUAU